CAGUCGCCACGGUAAUACAGAGGGUGCGAGCGUUAAUCGGAUUUACUGGGCGUAAAGCGUGCGUAGGCGGCUUCUUAAGUCGGAUGUGAAAUCCCUGAGCUUAACUUAGGAAUUGCAUUCGAUACUGGGAAGCUAGAGUAUGGGAGAGGAUGGUAGAAUUCCAGGUGUAGCGGUGAAAUGCGUAGAGAUCUGGAGGAAUACCGAUGGCGAAGGCAGCCAUCUGGCCUAAUACUGACGCUGAGGUACGAAAGCAUGGGGAGCAAACAGGAUUAGAUACCCCUGUAGUCCCUGUCUCUUAUAA
rnacentral:rRNA from 1 species